rnacentral:misc_RNA from 1 species
GAUGAAGAACGUAGCGAAAUGCGAUAAGUAAUGUGAAUUGCAGAGUUCAGUGAAUCGUCGAAUCUUUGAACGCACAUUGCGCCCGUCAGUAUUCUGACGGGCAUGCCUGUCCGAGCGUCAUUUCAACCCUCAAGCACUGCUUGGCGUUGGCGGAUUGCGUGCCCUCGCGGCGCUGCAACCGCCCAAAUACAGUGGCGGUCCCGCUGCGGCUCCCUUUGCGUAGUAACUCACCUCGCACUGGACCGGGCGGCGGCCUGCCGUAAAACCCCAACUCACGAAAUGUUGACCUCGGAUCAGGUAGGAAUACCCGCUGAACUUAAGCAUAUCAAUAAGCGGAGGA